UGCAUUUUCCUGUCAUCUUUUGAUUGACAGGAUAUAUCGGUCAUGAUCAUAGGCUGUUUUUAAACUGUCGGCUGAUAAUGUGAAAACUAGCUUUAAUCGGCCUAUGUGUUUUUUUUCUAUUAAUUGAAUGUUUUUGUACGAUUCACAUUCUAUGAAUUUAUACGGAUUAGCCACCUUUUAAUUAGCACCUAAAAUACGUACAAAUUCUUGUGAGAUCAGAUUGGAGUGGCACACCAUCCUUUAAUGGAACGGUAUAUAGGGAGAAUCUGUUAUUGGUUUGCGUAAAGUGUUUAUGCAACGAGAAUAACAAUUCCUUUCAACGCUUCGUCUAUUUCUUUUCACCCACCUGCAUCCUUCCCCCUUUCCUUCCUCCUAAUUUCCUGCAUUCCUCUCAUUUAUGUGAUCGAUCGUCUUCAUCCCUGUAGUUCUUUGAAAAUAUAUUUUCCUGCUCUUUGUGUGUCUUGACAGAAGUCCCGCCCCUGUGCCUAAUCGUUACAGCGCCUGCCAGAGGGAGGCACGAAUCUGUUCGGAUGCCAGCCAUGUCAUCUUAAUAAACCUGAAGGCUUUUACUCAAGCAGUAACGUGGUCGACUUACUUCCUGUGUGAUCGACUCUCGUCUGACUGGGGAAUUGAAGAGUGCUUGGAGAGGAAAGAAGCGUGGACAGCGGUGUACUCGUCUCCGAUUGAAAAAGCAGGAUGGAUCUUCCAUCGCUACAAAAACACCCUCCUCCCUGGAAGAGUUUUCAUUGGGGUCUCCCGACAGCCAAGCAAGCUCCAGUAACCUUGAAACGUCAGCGCCACCCUGAGAAUUUCCCCACACAGAGCACCGUAAACGCACUUCGAGCGGCUUCUCCAUGUCACAAACUUUCACCCGCUGCAUUGUGCAUUCUUGUUUCUCCCCUAACAUCAGGAGACACAAAACC